AUUCCGAUUGUUUACCCAAAAACAUUGGUCUUGUAAACCAAA
rnacentral:tRNA from 1 species